rnacentral:miRNA from 1 species
GACCUAGGCUAGGAGUUCUUAGCAUGGGGGGUUUUCCCAUGCUAAGACAUCCUCCCAUGCUAAGAACUCCUAGCCUAGGA